CCGGUUCACAGACUCUGUGUGUAUAUAUAUAUCAAUAAGAGGGGGGUACAGCUUGUAGUACUAAACAGUAAUCCAGACACAAAACAGAAGUAGUAGUAUUGCGCAAUUUUAAAAUAGACGAGCCCUCCAAUAUUAUGUAGAACUAUGCGAGGGUCUGGGUCUUAAAGAAUAAGGCGAGUGUGAGCUCUGUGGUUUGUACUUCUACAGGCUGCAAGGUUUCACUCUCCUCUAUCGAGUGGGGAGGGCGUAGAAUGGAAGGGUUAUUUAGUUGCAUAUCACGGUAAG